rnacentral:lncRNA from 1 species
GGCAUUUUCAAAACCCUCCUGGCUGGGCGUGAUCUCCAGAGAUCCCAGUCCUACUGGUCUCUGUGGCUCAGCCCUCCCUCCCAUCCAGGGUGUCUGAGAGAGCUGCUGGUGAGUCCUGCAGAUGCUUCGAGCUUGAAUCCAUUGGUCUGUGUGGCACGUAGUGCAACCCUGGAGAGGCGUGCGGAGAGGGAGAAUGAGAUCGAGACAGAUCCUGUGGGCACGCGUGGUGAUAGGUUGUUUGGCUUGGAAGAGAGUCUGGUACCCAGCCCAGGCCUUCCCGUGGGACCUUCAGGAGAGAGAAGGCCCCAUCCCAGAGUGUGCCUCAUUGAACAAGGAUUUUGAGGAAUGGCAGCUGCAGGAGAAGCUCUAAGAAGUCGCCCUUUUGGAAGGGGAAUUUACCUCUGUGAAGGAAUCUCUACCUGCCGGGUGUCUCCUCUGGGAUCCAGGAAGAAGAGGGAAACUCAGUUACAAGAGACACUUGUUGAGGAGAAAGCUCUAUUACAAGCCCACAGCAAGUUGUGGCCUUGGUCACCUGCCUUUCUGGUCACCUCCCCGUUGCCGGCCACCCCCAUCUUCUUUCUUUAUUUUAGUUGAAGAUAAGCUAGGGUUCUGGGCCACCUCCUGCAGAUUUGUGCGUCUUCCCCUGGAGUUUGCCACCCACGCAUGAGGUGUGUGGAUUAAUAAACUUCUGUUUUUCUCUUGUUCAUCUGCCAUGGGUUACAGGCGUCCAGUUUUUCUUCUCCUACAGGGAAACAAUUUGCUCCACUGGGAAGAGGGGAAAAGGCCACAGAAAGGCAAGUUGACCAGAAGACCCCUCACAGCGUCCCCUUAUCAUCACCUCCUCUGCCUCUAGGGAAGUCUUGGGGGCUGGUGGUGCAUUGGCUAGGUGCAGAGGCAAUGGCUACAGGCUGGGACCACUGUGGAAGCCCCCAGACUGAAGCCCCACUGCCUGAUCUCAUCAUCCUUUGCAUCACUCUGUGACCUAUGACUUUGACC